rnacentral:tRNA from 1 species
GGCCCAAUAGUCAAAGGGUUAAGACACAACUCUUUCAAUGUUGAAAUGGGGAUUCGACUUCCCCUUGGGCUA